GAUGAACGCUGGCGGCGUGCCUAAUACAUGCAAGUCGAGCGAACGGACGAGAAGCUUGCUUCUCUGAUGUUAGCGGCGGACGGGUGAGUAACACGUGGAUAACCUACCUAUAAGACUGGGAUAACUUCGGGAAACCGGAGCUAAUACCGGAUAAUAUUUUGAACCGCAUGGUUCAAAAGUGAAAGACGGUCUUGCUGUCACUUAUAGAUGGAUCCGCGCUGCAUUAGCUAGUUGGUAAGGUAACGGCUUACCAAGGCAACGAUGCAUAGCCGACCUGAGAGGGUGAUAGGCCACACGAGAACUGAGACACGGUCCAGACUCCUACGGGAGGCAGCAGUAGGGAAUCUUACGCAAUGGGCGAAAGCAUGACGGAGCAACGCCGCGUGAGUGAUGAAGGUCUUCGGAUCGUAAAACUCUGUUAUUAGGGAAGAACAUAUGUGUAAGUAACUGUGCACAUCUUGACGGUACCUAAUCAGAAAGCCACGGCUAACUACGUG
rnacentral:rRNA from 1 species